AAAGAAACGAACUUUCCAAGAGGAAGGCACUCGUGUGCCUCUUGCAAGGGCACAUUAAGUUGAAAACUUUUAAUGGAUCACAUCAAAGCUGAUCAGAAGUCCCUUCCCUGGACACCGCCCACCCUUAAUGGCCAUGUCCAAAGUCACCUUAAAAAUUCAGGUCCGGGCGGGAUACGCAUUUGACACUGAGCCAGUCAACUCCACGCGUCACCAUUAAUACACACUCUUCUUCCAGCUGUGUCCACAGAAACAAUUGCCUUUCGGCUUUCCCCAUUAUAAAUACCCUCAACGCAGCCCCUCUCCUCAAUUCAAAAUCAGAAUAUUAACUCAUCUCAUCACUAACAAAUUUAAAAAAAAGAAUCCUUUUGGCUUUAGCUGCACUUCACCCUUUCACUAUGGCUUCCACUUCCCAUUUCACUAUUUUUUUUUCACUUCUUGUUCUAUUCUCCGUGCUUCACCCUGCCAUAGCCACAACAAGAAAACUUGCUGCUCUGGUUCAAGAACAGCCUCUCCUGCUUAACUACCACAAUGGCCCACUUCUUAAAGGCAACGUCACUGUUAAUCUAAUCUGGUAUGGCAAGUUCACUCCUACCCAGCGAUCCAUAAUCGUUGACUUUCUCAACUCUCUCAAUUGGCUUAAAGCUCCAUCUCCUUCAGUAUCGUCCUGGUGGGAAACUACCGGGAGGUACAGAGGAGGCCCAUGCACGGUUGUCCUGGGGAAUCAGGUCCUUGAUGAGAACUACUCUCUUGGAAAAUCACUCAAAACGCCACAGCUUGUAGCGUUGGCUUCCAAAGCUGGCUACGGUGAAAAUUCAGCCAAUUUCGUAUUUACCUCUGCUGAUGUGGCGAUUGAGGGAUUUUGCAUGAGUCGAUGUGGGACACAUGGAUCGGGUAAGGGCAAGACGGGGAAGUUUGCCUACGCCUGGGUAGGUAACUCGUUGAGUCAGUGCCCCGGUCAGUGCGCAUGGCCUUUCCACCAGCCCAUUUACGGACCACAAACCCCUCCUUUGGUCUCUCCAAAUGGCGAUGUUGGAAUCGACGGCAUGAUCAUUAAUUUGGCCACGGUUUUGGCAGGAACGGUGACGAAUCCUUUUAGUAACGGUUACUUUCAGGGGAGUGCCGAAGCCCCUCUGGAGGCAGUGAGCGCGUGCACGGGCAUUUUUGGGAAAGGAGCAUACUCGGGAUAUCCUGGGGAGGUUCUGGUGGACAAAAUCACAGGAGCUGGCUACAACGCAUUUGGUAUGAACGGGCGCAAGUAUCUGCUCCCUGCAAUGUGGGACCCGCAAACCUCCACCUGCAAAACCCUCGUGUAAAUAAAAUAAAAUAUUAUAUGUUAGAAAAGUAAUUGUCUGUAUGUAUUCUCUUUUUCUGAGAAUAAUAUUAUGUACUCGUGUAGAUACAAGCAUAGGCUACACUUUGGAGAGUCGUUUAUUUCUUUCAAGUGGUAUGUAUGUUGUGCAUUAGAAUGUUAUGUUACAUACAACACUCCUUAAUAAAAUCGGUUCCAAUUAGGAGAUUAACCAAAUCAUUAGAGACAAGACAUAAACUAUCAAUUUUAUUAAGACAUACUAAUUUAUGUAAAUCAAAUGCGUCUCCAUUUAAAAAAG
rnacentral:misc_RNA from 1 species